rnacentral:lncRNA from 1 species
CUUCCACUCUGGCGGUGGCCCCACGCCCCUGGUUCUAGAAGGUCCUCAGGGGCGUGGAGGUGACCCCCCUCGCUGGCACAUGCCUCAGGCCUCCCCCCCCCCGCCUCGAUUUCCCCAAGGCCAAGGGGGACUCUCUCCACCUUCGAGGAUGACCCCAUGCAAGCCCGAAAAUGGGUAGACACAAGUGAGCGGAGAGCAUGAUUUCUGAAUGACAAGGAGGACGGUUUAUUGGGAGUUGACAGGUGCAGGAGGAAGGGCUGGGCUGGACCAGGGUCGCGGGGGAGACCCUCGCGGGGGUCCUGUGGCUCCAGGCCCCUGAGGGUGGGGGCCCAGGGACCUAGGCGCACUCGGAGGGCGUCACUGUCUUCUCCACAAUGGUCCCCUCGUGGGUGACCUGGCAGGUGAAGCCGCUGGAAGAUUUCCAGUCACUGGCGGACAGGGCCAGGUAGCUGCUGGCCGCGUACUUGUUGUUGCUCUGUUUCGAGGGCUUGGUGGUCUCCACGCCCUGGGUGACGGUGGUGCCGCCUGCCUUCCAGGUGAAGCCGCUGGAAGAUUUCCAGUCACUGGCGGACAGGGCCAGGUAGCUGCUGGCCGCGUACUUGUUGUUGCUCUGUUUCGAGGGCUUGGUGGUCUCCACGCCCUGGGUGACGGUGGUGCCGCUGCCUUCCAGUCACCGUCACGGCGCCCGGUAGAAGUCACUUAUUAGACACACCAGGGUGGCCUUGUUGGUGCCGAGCUCCUCAGAGGAGGGCGGGAAGAGGUUGACCGUGGGAGCGGCCUUGGGCUGACCUGGGGGUCGGGGAGAGACGGGAGGUCGUUGGCUCAGUGUCCAUCAGGGGAAUCCCCUGUG